rnacentral:rRNA from 1 species
UCAGUACCCCGAGAAAAAGAAAUCAACCGAGAUUCCCCCAGUAGCGGCGAGCGAACGGGGAGCAGCCCAGAGUCAACAUCAAUAUUUACCACAGGAGAAGGGUCUGGAAAAGCCGGCAAUAAAGGGUGAUAGCCCCGUAUCUAAAGCGGUAAGUGUUGUGAACUCGAAGAGUAGGGCGGGACACGUGUUAUCCUGUCUGAAUAUGGGGGGACCAUCCUCCAAGGCUAAAUACUCCUGACUGACCGAUAGUGAACCAGUACCGUGAGGGAAAGGCGAAAAGAACCCCGGCGAGGGGAGUGAAAUAGAACCUAAAACCGUGUACGUACAAGCAGUAGGAGCACCCGAAAGGGUGUGACUGCGUACCUUUUGUAUAAUGAGUCAGCGACUUAUAUUCUGUAGCAAGGUUAACCGCAUAGGGGAGCCGUAGGGAAACCGAGUCUUAACUGGGCGUUAAGUUGCAGGGUAUAGACCCGAAACCCG